GUUAGACUUCUUGUUCUCUUUUUCACAAAAUAGUUCUUGUUACCACCACACAGUAAAGACAUAAGCAGCAGUGUCAUCAAUACUUUUCCUGCAGUCCUGCCAGACUUGACGCAGAAAGUGGAGUUAUUUCUUGUGGCACCCUUUAUGCAACCAGGCACAGAUGAUUACCCUAACAGAAGCCAUUAUACUUUCAUUAAAUACUCGUUUUCUAGCACCGUCUUCUGAGUUUGAUCAGCACAUGAUCCCUUCUCUCGCUGGAUGAAUCACUGCUUGGCCAGAUUUAUUUAAUCUCAGAGCACAGAGGUUAUUUUAAAAGGAGUCAUCACUUCACAGAUCACCUCAGCUCCCCCCUGUUGUCUUUUCCACUCACUGUUUUUACUUUAGGCUCGUUGAUUUUUUUAUUCUGCUUUUGUUUUGACUAGUGACCCAACUUCCUCUUCACCACAGAUCACCAGAUGUGUUUAAGACUCUUUAGUCCACCUUGUCCCCACCCUCCACUCUGUAGAGCCCUCUAACUGCUGUUUGUCCCAGCAUCCUCUCACCCUUUCUCCCUCUCUGUCACUUCCAGUGUUCGACCAACUAGAUCUGGUCACAUACGAAGAGGUUGUGAAGCUUCCUGCUUUCAAGAGGAAAACACUAGUUUUGUUAGGUGCCCAUGGAGUGGGAAGAAGACACAUCAAGAACACACUCAUAACCAAACACCCCGACAGAUUCGCCUACCCCAUCCCACACACAACCAGAACUCCAAAGAAGGACGAGGAGAACGGGAAGAACUACUACUUUGUUUCCCACGAUCAGAUGAUGCUGGACAUCAGCAACAAUGAGUACCUGGAGUACGGCAGCCACGAGGACGCCAUGUACGGGACGCGGCUGGAGACCAUCCGAAAGAUCCAACAGGGACUCAUAGCUAUACUGGACGUUGAACCUCAGGCCCUGAAGGUCCUCCGGACAGCAGAGUUUGCCCCCUACGUCGUCUUUAUUGCUGCACCAACUAUCACACCAGGCAUCAAUGAGGUAGGAAAACACCAAACACACACACACACACACACACACUAAAGAUAAUACCAUUUUAAGGAUAAUGCCGAUGUCUCUUCUUCCUCUGAGCCAUAGAGCUCCAUUGUUGUCCAGAAACUAUUAAACACAUCAGUGAGGCUCACUGGGUGACAUGUUCCUUCAUCACCAUGAACACACACACACUAGUUUAUUCGGCCUGCUGCCCCAGAUAUUCACCAGAGCACCACAUGUGGAUAUCUGCACUAGAAAAUAGCUGUUAAAAAAACUACCAGCUGUUAAGGAAACAAAAUGGGCUUGGAGUUGAGUGCCACUGCAACGUAGGGAAGUCAGACAGCACUGAGAGACGGACUGACCAGCUUCAUCCAUUAACAUUCAAAUACCAAACCAAAUAUCUGUUCUAAUACUGUCAUAAAAAAACCUGAAUAAUGAAUUAACAUCACAUCACCUGGUUACUUUGAGUUAGAGAUGUAAUAUAUUUGUAAGUGAUAUGCAGAGAAAUAAUAGAAUAUUGUGAAAAAUACAAAUUGCUUGUUUUAAAUUAUUCAGUUUACUUUCACAUACUUUUCGUGACAAAGAACGGCAGUAAAUCCUCACAUUAAAAAGCUGAAACCAGGGAAUAGGUGGAAAAGCUGGAAAGACUCACUUGCAGAUAGACUCAUUGUUUUACCUGUAAUCUGCAUUAGGGCCGGUUUAUACUUCUGUGUCAAAUCUAUGCUGUAGGUACGCUGUAGCCUAGAGGGAAAAAAAACUCCAGCCCUAACCCAAGCCAAGACAAAGAUCACUUUAAGCUCUCUGUGACGCGCGCUCUCUCAUCCAAUGUCUCCCCGAUGAGUUGCAUGAUCCACUGUCGCAUGUAUGCUAAUGCACACGUACCUGUGUAUAAUAUUUAUAAUAUAAUCAAUAGAACAGUUUUUCAUACAGUAGCCAAUGAAUGCUCUGCACGUAUAUGAGCAGGGUAAAUGAGCCUGAACCUUGAUCUAUAAUUGUCCCAAGCCUUGCCCGAAUCAACUCAGGUCAGGACCCAGCGGGCUUGCAGACCUCGAGCAUAGCUGCGUACCUAGCCUGACGUGCACCUCCCCAAAAAUUUAACUAAACGGUGCAGUAACGCAGACCACAAGGACUGUGAUUGGUCGGCUUGGCAGCAUCGCAAUUCCUCCAAGCCCCCCCCGGAAGUGUUCCAUGGUUUGAAGCCAAUUCUACUAAUGGCCAAACCAGACAUUUUCCCAUAGACUUCCCACUAGACACUGUUGAAAGAAGCGACUGUAAAAUGGUGGAUACAAUUUUUUUUUUUCUGAUCACAACCCCAGUGACACAAGUCAUUUCACCAUCAGAAAUUGAUCCAGUCGGUCUGAUAACAUUUAGAAAGUCUAGCAUAGCUGCACGAUUAUCAUUUUACCCCUAGGGCUGAAUGAUUUUGAAAAGAUAUGUAGUUGGUAUUAUUUCUCAUUUUCAUGGUGUGAUUUUUGCAAGGAUCUGUACCACAUGUUUUCUUAGGUCUUUAGAAUAUGGCAUGUUGGCCAGGACAUCACUGCAGCACCACAAUAUUUAAUGUGGUUUUUGACCCACAUCACCUUUAACAAAUAUUGCACCUCCUACGAGGUGCAGUAGCGAUAUAAUUUCAAUUAAGGGUUCAGACCUAUUUUGCCCCCAUUCAAGUUAGUGGAAGGCUAAACCACACAAGUAUAAACGGCGUGGCUACUGCGGAGAUUCAACGCAGAAGUUUAAAUUGGCCUUUACACAUUUAAUCCAUUUAAUGUGACACAUCUUAAACUCGAGUUAUAACAUAAUCAGCACAUAAUCAACCUGACCAGUGAUACUUUCCCUCUUUUAUUAUCAACCCAAAUUCAUCUCUAAAUCUGCCUGUUCAGUUUGUGAAGUGCUACCAUCUCCCAGCAUGCACUUGGACCUUGGACUCUCCUUCUAUCAGCUCUUCACUCGUGUGUUUGCCUCUCUCAUUCCUCUCUGCACUCGUUUAUCUUUGCAUGCUGCAUGCAUUUCUUUCUUUGGCGCUCCCCUCAGAUGCCCAGGUGGUGUCGAACGCUGCCAGUAAGUAAAAACCUGAUGGGAUCAUAGCGUUAUUUUUAAUUAUGUAUGUGUGUAAUCCUCGCCAAAUGCUUGCUUGUAUGGUCCUAGUGGUUAGUGUAGUUCUCCAUUCACUUCCUCCUCUGCUGAGUAAAGGCCCUUACACACUGCACAGUAACAGUCAUCCUGCAGGUUGAAAGUUGUUGUACUAUAUCCGUCUUGUUUUUUCACCUUGUUCUUAAAUAAGCUACACUGGCUCAGGUAUUCUGCAUUGUUUCAUUAUGCGUUCCUGUUGGUUGGUUUGCAGACAUGGGUCACAGGGUUGGGAGCGCAAUGUACUCGAUCGUCAAUGGGUUUGUUUUUGUCCAAUCAAAUCUAAACUGCAAUUUAAAAACAAAGAAGGCUUACAAGCUGGAACCAGAGGGCAGUGUUUCCCCUGCAUUCAUUUAUAUGUGACAACCUGCAACAGUAUCAACACUGAGUACGUCAUAUAGAUUUUGUUUAGUAUUUAAAAUGGCUAAAAAUUCUAUCUGCCUCUCAAUUCAAUUCAUUAAACUUUAUUGGCCUGGAUAUUUAGGUAAACAUUGUUGCCAUAGCAGAAAGUUAGUUUAAAUAUGUCUCCAAGGGACAAUUAUUAAUAUAAUAAUAUCAGU